AUUGUUGCUCCCUAGAACCGAACCGGUGAACAUGUAACAUAAUGCUACCGGGAAGUACCGUCUCCUCGGCCCUGCCGGCCCCGGCCUGUUGGUCGGGUGUCGAAAUACGGCGCGGGAUGUCCCCAAGGAACACUGAAUUGCUGAGGCAAACAACAAUCCCCUCGUACUGCUGAUGCCAACUUAACAUUAUGACUCUCGGCAACGGAUAUCUCGCCUCUCCCAUCGAUAAAAAACGUACCGAAAUGCGAUACGGGGGGUGAAUUGCAAAAUCCCGUGAACCAUCAAGUUUUUGAACGCAAGUUGCGCCCGAGGAAUCCUCCCAAGGGCACGCCUGCCUGGGCGUUAAAAGCCCAUCAACACUCAGUCAACCCCUGCACACACCGUGUGACAGAAGACCGACCUGAUGUGGACAAUGCACCUCCGACCCAGUAAUGGCACGGUGGGCUGAAUUUAAUGCUCCUCAUAUGGAAACGGGAUCGGAGAGUGGUGGGCUAACUGCAAAGUUCAAUCCCGACUGCCAUGUAGACAUAUUGCCUAUUUUGAACCCCAAAAUAAGAGAUUGUCCUCACAACAUCUAAGUUGUGUGGAAAUUUCAGACCGAUACCCCGGGUCAGGCGGGGCCCCCCGCUGAUUUUAAGCAUAUCAAUA
rnacentral:rRNA from 1 species